CUAGUUUUAUGGCUGAGAUUGUUGAGGGGGUUUACGCUAUUCCAUUCAAAGUCGAGGGACCAGGAAAAGUGGUGGGCGAAUAUCAAGUCCAUGGGGGAACUUCCGCGCCAUUAGCGGACCUGUGGGUGUCUCCAUGGGGGGUGGUCCCCUAGAAAUGGGCGAGCAAAUUCUGUCCAAUACAAAACUUAUCGCACCCAAAAGGGGCAUCGGUAAAUGAGGACAUCGCCGCGGAACUGUUCUGUAUCGUUGGCAUCAUUCGGCCUUGCCGUCGAGUUGGUUUGGGGGAACAGGACGUGUUCGAUUAUUGGCGACCCUUCCAUCUUUUGGGUUGCAUGUUUGCAGGUUCAUAUUGGUAACCUCUACUUGCCAAGGGGCAGUUCCAUUCAUGUUCCUACUCGGGAAGUUGGAUCCGUCUGGGAGUGGGAGGUGAAAAACGAAUCAGAAAGGGGUUCCUUAGUACAUUAUCUGUAAGAUAGCUUGCUGUGUGGGCUCGGCUGGGCCCGCCCAUUGUGGACAUAACUUACGGUCACGGGAAUCCUACCGCACGUCUUUGCUUGGACUGGAAAUUGUUUCGGUGGUAGGAGAGUGUCGAUUGCCUGGGGUUCAGUUGACUGCACUUCGGGAGUUCAGGCUGAAGGUUCGCAGGUCCAAGAAGGUCACUGAGAAAUCGCAGUUGUUCAUAAGGCAGUUUCAAGUUGCAUGUCGGGUUAGUCGCGAGUACUGGGUCGGUAGCCAUUUCAUGGCGAAGGCUACUUGUGGAGCCUUUGCGGGUGGUAUCGAGUUGUUCACAGAUACCUUUGGGAACAUAGAUUCCGGGGCAUACCUGGAAGGCAGGUGGUGCGCAGAGCGGUGGUGGGAGGCAUAAAAGGUAAGUCCUCUUAUUCGAAGUUGGCAUCUUAUGAGUUAUUUCAAUUGGGAGUGGCUGUGGCUCUAAAAGGUGAAGGAUUAAGGGAUGAAAAGUCAUAAUUCACGCACAAUACGGCGAGGUUCGUGUGGUUUACCAUUCAGCCGGGUCCUCGGUUCAGGAGGUGCGGCGAUUCGUAUCACUGUUCAGGUAUCGGGUGCAGGCACGCCACAUGCCUGGUUGGCGGAAGGUAGGGGCUGGUUACUUGGCUCGCGCACAAGGGGACAAGCUGCGAAUGGCGGCCCCAGGGGGCGCGGGAGGAGGGACUGUCCAGUCUGGAGGAAAUGUGGCAGCUCGAGACGCCAUGCUUGGAGGAUCGAUACAGAAUCCUAUGGCACCGGGCACAGGGACUGCCUAUGUGAACGUUUGAGAUAUGUGGGACAAGGCGGUUGGUUUCACUGUGGGGGCCCAGUCAAAGGAGGGGCGAAGGGAUACCUUGCUGUGGUUCCUAAGCCGUUUGUUUGUUCAGCGUUAGCUCCAUCAGCAAUGGACAGGAGCAUGGUGGCAUUGUCGUUAGGGUUUAAACUGACUGAUUGGGAGGAAGUGACGGAACGUUGUCACGUCCGUCAGGCAUCGCGGGUCUUACGGAGAGAUAUGAAAUAUGUCGGUGCCGGGCGGCGGGUUUCCUUGGGUAACGCAACGCCUGGUGGUGUAUUACCCUACUUUUGCAGUGAGUUUGCUUGCGGUGGCCUUCUCGGAGGCUUGGGGCAAUUUGGAUUGGAGAACUGGUGAGUGCCUUCGGGCAGGUGUUGGGGGGGUUCUACACUUGGUUGUCGAACCUUAGUCGGUUAAGGUUUGGUAAAGCUAUAUUCCCUGCCGGGGUCAGGGGUACGCCCGGUGUUAAGCGCAUCAUGCUACUUGGAGCUUUGCCCGGACAUCCCGGGUGGCUUACUGGUAAAAGGGGACAGAUCGGUGCUGUCACGAUUCAAUUCCCGCAGGUGUUUGUUCGAAGGGGUUUGACAAUGUUGGGUUUGGAUCCCGGGCACUUUGGGACCCAUUCUUCCCAGGUGAUGGCGGUAACAGAGGCACCC
rnacentral:lncRNA from 1 species